rnacentral:tRNA from 1 species
GGGGACAUAGCUCAGUUGGUUAGAGCAUCUGCAUCACACGCAGGGGGUCCUCGGUUCGAGUCCGAGUGUCCCCACCA